GGUUUUUCUUGAUGACUUAUAAGAGCUGACCUGUACACUGCAGGUUGCAGCAAUGACACCAUCCACGGGUGUUUCUGAGAAAGGAUCAAACAUCCUGUCUGACCGCCGCAUGAAGUCAGGCUUCAGCAGAUGCUCCACUUCUCGUGUGACCCCCUCCCUCUGACUUUGCACAUGCUCUGCUCCCAGCAAGCCAUAUGGUCUGAACCCUCUCGCCUCUGGCCAUGGGACAGCAGCUGUUUUACAACAGGCAUCACUCACUGAACAGCUUCUCCACAAUGGAUCAUCUGUCCUGAUCUUGUCCUAUCACUCAUGUCCUCUUUUGCUCUUGCCCGGCAGCUCCUCACUAUCCCUCCUCAGCAUUGGGUGAUGCAGCAAGAGAAGAUUUUUUUUCACCAACUGUUGCAGGGGAUGCUGUGCCCUUAGCUGACAUGGGAUCACAACCAUUCACUCUCACAGUCCCCAUAUUGCAUAAAUAUGGGGUUUUAGGAAUGUGCGAGUGAAUAGUUGUUUGUAUAUGUCCAGGUGUGACCCACCUAACUACAUUCAAAAUGACCGUUGUUCAGACUGGGUCUCGAUCCCAGGUCUUCUUGCUCCAAAGGCAGGUGUGUUAACCCCUACACCAACUGUCUGGCCACCUUUAUCUUUUUCCAUUUGCGCCCAAUAUUUGGUGUUUCAACCAGAUCAAGUCUUCAAAGAAUAUUUGGCCCAAAUGCGACGAAAAAGGCAGCCAGACAGUUGGUGUAGUGGCUUUGGAGCAAGGGCUAUUCUGCAUAUAGUUAGCAUGUUGGUAGCGGGUUACACCUGGACAGUUCGCCAGUCCAUCGCAGGGCUACAUAGAGAUAAAUAACCAUUCACUCUCACAUAUUGAAAAAACCCUAACCCAAAAACAUGUGAAUGGUUACUUGUCACUAUACUGGCGAACUGUCCAGGUGUGCCUAUGUCAGCUGAGAUUGGCACACCUGCAGUGUGCGUGAUGGUCAAUCCAAGGUCCAACCCACCUUCUUG